CGAUUCGUCUCGUUGGUGACCAGCGGAGGGAUCAUUACUGAGUUACCGCUCUAUAACCCUUUGUGAACAUACCUACAACUGUUGCUUCGGCGGGUAGGCCGUCCCCUGAAAAGGACGCCUCCCGGCCCGGACCGGACCCCCCGCGGGACCGGACCCGGCGCCCGCCGGAGGAUAACCAAACUCUAUUGUAACGACGUUUCUUCUGAGUGGCAUAAGCAAAAUAAUCAAAACUUUUAACAACGGAUCUCUUGGUUCUGGCAUCGAUGAAGAACGCAGCGAAAUGCGAUAAGUAAUGUGAAUUGCAGAAUUCAGUGAAUCAUCGAAUCUUUGAACGCACAUUGCGCCCGCCAGCAUUCUGGCGGGCAUGCCUGUUCGAGCGUCAUUUCAACCCUCAAGCUCUGCUUGGUGUUGGGGCUCUACGGUCGACGUAGGCCCUCAAAGGUAGUGGCGGACCCUCCCGGAGCCUCCUUUGCGUAGUAACAUUUCGUCUCGCACUGGGAUCCGGAGGGACUCUUGCCGUAAAACCCCCCAAUUUUCCAAAGGUUGACCUCGGAUCAGGUAGGAAUACCCGCUGAACUUAAGCAUAUCUA
rnacentral:rRNA from 1 species